CCCAAGUCGAGCGACGCAUUCCCGGUUCGUAAGAACCGGGUCUGACGGAGCGGCGAACGGGUGAGUAACACGUGAGCAAUCUGCCCCGAAGACCGGGAUAGCCCAGGGAAACCUGGAUUAAUACCGGAUACCCUCUCGCGACCGCAUGGUCUAGUGAGAGGAAAGGCCUUUGUGCUUUGGGAUGGGCUCGCGGCUUAUCAGCUAGUUGGUGGGGUAACGGCCUACCAAGGCAACGACGAGUAGCUGGUCUGAGAGGACGACCAGCCACACUGGAACUGAGACACGGUCCAGACUCCUACGGGAGGCAGCAGCAGGGAAUCUUGCGCAAUGGGCGAAAGCCUGACGCAGCAACGCCGCGUGGGGGAUGAAGGCCUUCGGGUUGUAAACCCCUUUCAGGAGGGAAGAAAUUGACGGUACCUCCAGAAGAAGGACCGGCCAACUACGUGCCAGCAGCCGCGGUAAUACGUAGGGUCCUAGCGUUAUCCGGAAUCAUUGGGGCG
rnacentral:rRNA from 1 species